AGAGUUUGAUCAUGGCUCAGAUUGAACGCUGGCGGCAGGCCUAACACAUGCAAGUCGAGCGGUAACACAGAGAGCUUGCUCUCGGGUGACGAGCGGCGGACGGGUGAGUAAUGUCUGGGAAACUGCCUGAUGGAGGGGGAUAACUACUGGAAACGGUAGCUAAUACCGCAUAACGUCGCAAGACCAAAGUGGGGGACCUUCGGGCCUCAUGCCAUCAGAUGUGCCCAGAUGGGAUUAGCUAGUAGGUGGGGUAACGGCUCACCUAGGCGACGAUCCCUAGCUGGUCUGAGAGGAUGACCAGCCACACUGGAACUGAGACACGGUCCAGACUCCUACGGGAGGCAGCAGUGGGGAAUAUUGCACAAUGGGCGCAAGCCUGAUGCAGCCAUGCCGCGUGUGUGAAGAAGGCCUUCGGGUUGUAAAGCACUUUCAGCGGGGAGGAAGGCGUUAAGGUUAAUAACCUUGGCGAUUGACGUUACCCGCAGAAGAAGCACCGGCUAACUCCGUGCCAGCAGCCGCGGUAAUACGGAGGGUGCAAGCGUUAAUCGGAAUUACUGGGCGUAAAGCGCACGCAGGCGGUCUGUCAAGUCGGAUGUGAAAUCCCCGGGCUUAACCUGGGAACUGCAUUCGAAACUGGCAGGCUAGAGUCUUGUAGAGGGGGGUAGAAUUCCAGGUGUAGCGGUGAAAUGCGUAGAGAUCUGGAGGAAUACCGGUGGCGAAGGCGGCCCCCUGGACAAAGACUGACGCUCAGGUGCGAAAGCGUGGGGAGCAAACAGGAUUAGAUACCCUGGUAGUCCACGCCGUAAACGAUGUCGAUUUGGAGGUUGUGCCCUUGAGGCGUGGCUUCCGGAGCUAACGCGUUAAAUCGGACCGCCUGGGGAGUACGGCCGCAAGGUUAAAACUCAAAUGAAUUGACGGGGGCCCGCACAAGCGGUGGAGCAUGUGGUUUAAUUCGAUGCAACGCGAAGAACCUUACCUGGUCUUGACAUCCACAGAACUUUCCAGAGAUGGAUUGGUGCCUUCGGGAACUGUGAGACAGGUGCUGCAUGGCUGUCGUCAGCUCGUGUUGUGAAAUGUUGGGUUAAGUCCCGCAACGAGCGCAACCCUUAUCCUUUGUUGCCAGCGGUCCGGCCGGGAACUCAAAGGAGACUGCCAGUGAUAAACUGGAGGAAGGUGGGGAUGACGUCAAGUCAUCAUGGCCCUUACGACCAGGGCUACACACGUGCUACAAUGGCAUAUACAAAGAGAAGCGACCUCGCGAGAGCAAGCGGACCUCAUAAAGUAUGUCGUAGUCCGGAUUGGAGUCUGCAACUCGACUCCAUGAAGUCGGAAUCGCUAGUAAUCGUAGAUCAGAAUGCUACGGUGAAUACGUUCCCGGGCCUUGUACACACCGCCCGUCACACCAUGGGAGUGGGUUGCAAAAGAAGUAGGUAGCUUAACCUUCGGGAGGGCGCUUACCACUUUGUGAUUCAUGACUGGGGUGAAGUCGUAACAAGGUAACCGUAGGGGAACCUGCGGUUGGAUCACCU
rnacentral:rRNA from 1 species